AUCAAUAAGCGGAGGAAAAGAAAAUAACAAUGAUUUCCCUAGUAACGGCGAGUGAAGAGGAAAGAGCUCAAAGUUGGAACCUGUUUGGCUUAGCUAAACCGGAUUGUAAACUGUAGAAACAUUUUCCAGAUACACUAGACAAAAAAGUCCUUUGGAACAGGGCAUCAUAGAGGGUGAGAAUCCCGUCUUUGGUCUAAGUAGUUGUCUAUUGUGAUAUGUUUUCAAAGAGUCAGGUUGUUUGGGAAUGCAGCCUAAAUUGGGUGGUAAAUCUCACCUAAAGCUAAAUAUUUGCGAGAGACCGAUAGCGAACAAGUACCGUGAGGGAAAGAUGAAAAGAACUUUGAAAAGAGAGUUAAACAGUAUGUGAAAUUGUUAAAAGGGAACCGUUUGGAGCCAGACUGGCUUGAUUGUAAUCAACCUAGAAUUCGUUUUGGGUGCACUUGCAGUCUAUGCCUGCCAACGACAGUUUGAUUUGGAGGAAAAAAUUAAUAGGAAUGUGGCCUCUCGAGGUGUUAUAGCCUAUUAUCAUACUCUGGAUUGGACUGAGGAACGCAGUGAAUGCCUUUAGGCAAGAUUGCUGGGCGCUUUCGCUAAUAAAUGUUAGAAUUUCUGCUUCGGGUGGUGCUAAUGUUUAAAGGAGGAACUCGUUUAGUAUAUUUUAUUCGCUAGGUGUGCU
rnacentral:rRNA from 1 species